AAAAGAAGGCUUUUCAAAUAAUCUGUUUAGGUUCUUUGUCCAACGGCUGAUAUUUUUCUUGUUUGCUGUACCCAUAUUUUGACUAUAUUAUUUAUUAUGUCUGUCGUUGUAAAUAUAACGGAAUUUCAGGAGACUGUCUUACAAGUGAGAGGCGCUAUAAAACCAGGUUCAAUCCACCAUUUUCUUCCAUUCGAAAAUGCCUGUAGCAAGUCAGGAAUAUGACACUUGUUGUCCAUUCGUUUUUGAUGUGUUUUGUCAUUUGAUUUUGCCAUGUGAUUAGGGACUUUCUGAUUGAAUUUUCCUCGGAGUUCAGU
rnacentral:lncRNA from 1 species